rnacentral:rRNA from 1 species
AGCGGCGGACGGGUGAGUAACGCGUGGGUAACCUGCCCUGUACACACGGAUAACAUACCGAAAGGUAUGCUAAUACGAGAUAAUAUACUUUUAUCGCAUGGUAGAAGUAUCAAAGCUCCGGCGGUACAGGAUGGACCCGCGUCUGAUUAGCUAGUUGGUAAGGUAACGGCUUACCAAGGCGACGAUCAGUAGCCGACCUGAGAGGGCGAUCGGCCACAUUGGAACUGAGACACGGUCCAAACUCCUACGGGAGGCAGCAGUGGGGAAUAUUGCACAAUGGGCGAAAGCCUGAUGCAGCAACGCCGCGUGAGCGAUGAAGGCCUUCGGGUCGUAAAGCUCUGUCCUCAAGGAAGAUAAUGACGGUACUUGAGGAGGAAGCCCCGGCUAACUACGUGCCAGCAGCCGCGGUAAUACGUAGGGGGCUAGCGUUAUCCGGAAUUACUGGGCGUAAAGGGUGCGUAGGUGGUUUCUUAAGUCAGAGGUGAAAGGCUACGGCUCAACCGUAGUAAGCCUUUGAAACUGGGAAACUUGAGUGCAGGAGAGGAGAGUGGAAUUCCUAGUGUAGCGGUGAAAUGCGUAGAUAUUAGGAGGAACACCAGUUGCGAAGGCGGCUCUCUGGACUGUAACUGACACUGAGGCACGAAAGCGUGGGGAGCAAACAGGAUUAGAUACCCUGGUAGUCCACGCCGUAAACGAUGAGUACUAGCUGU